rnacentral:lncRNA from 1 species
GUGUAUCUCUCUAUUUUGAGAGAUAGAGGUCUUGUUAGUUGUAUACCUUUAGUGAUGAUGAUGUCACUUUUGUUCUUUGAUUUGGUCAGCAGGUUGAAGUAGAGCUUUAAUAGUAGCUGGCAACAUCUUGCUCAGUGUGCACGCUCACAGAACUUUCACUUGUAGAAUUAAUAAACUUUGCUCGAUGUGUUGUCCUGUUUGCAAAACUAAGGUAGAGAUCAAGUGCAUGAGCUCUGCUGGUGGAAAAACACCAACAGAACCAAAUCUAUUUCUUUCUUUCUUUCUUUAUUUAUUUAUUUAUUUUUCUCCAUCCUUAGGCACAUU